ACUCAAUUACAGUAUUUCCUGUUCUUAAAAGCGUCUAGUAGGAAGGCUGUAAGAAACUUUCUCUCACUGAUCUUUCUUAUUUGCCAUGUUAGAUUUUAAGUUGCUUCUUGGCUACCAAAAUGCCUAGGCACAAUAAUCAACAAGAAUACAACUGACAUGUAGUUUGACCAAAUCUGAAGGAAGUAUUCCUUAGAAGGUAUGUGGACACAAGAGAAAUAAGCCAAAAACUAGACUAUUAUAAAAUCUUUCUUCUAAAGGACCACCUUCACAACAGCAUGUACCUUCUUCCACUAAAACUGGUCAGAUUCAACUUCAAUCAAAUCCAUCUAGUCAACAAAGAUCCACAGUCUCUCAAACUCAUUUAAAUUCUAUUGCUUCUAAGAGAUUA